rnacentral:rRNA from 1 species
UGAAAAGAACUGAGGUGAUCAGAGUGAAAUAGAACCUGAAACCAUUUGCUUACAAUCAUUCAGAGCCCUAUGUAGCAAUACAGGGUGAUGGACUGCCUUUUGCAUAAUGAGCCUGCGAGUUGUGGUGUCUGGCAAGGUUAAGCAAACGCGAAGCCGUAGCGAAAGCGAGUCUGAAUAGGGCGCUUAGUCAGAUGCUGCAGACCCGAAACGAAGUGAUCUAUCCAUGAGCAAGUUGAAGCUAGUGUAAGAACUAGUGGAGGACUGAACCCAUAGGCGUUGAAAAGCCCCGGGAUGACUUGUGGAUAGGGGUGAAAGGCCAAUCAAACUUCGUGAUAGCUGGUUCUCUCCGAAAUAUAUUUAGGUAUAGCGUUGUGUCGUAAUAUAAGGGGGUAGAGCACUGAAUGGGCUAGGGCAUACACCAAUGUACCAAACCCUAUCAAACUCCGAAUACCUUAUAUGUAAUCACAGCAGUCAGGCGGCGAGUGAUAAAAUCCGUCGUCAAGAGGGAAACAACCCAGACUACCAGCUAAGGUCCCUAAAUCUUACUUAAGUGGAAAACGAUGUGAAGUUACUUAAACAACCAGGAGGUUGGCUUAGAAGCAGCCAUCCUUUAAAGAAAGCGUAAUAGCUCACUGGUCUAGUGAUUUUGCGCGGAAAAUAUAACGGGGCUAAAGUAAGUACCGAAGCUGUAGACUUGCACACAACUUAGAUUAUUUAAGUUUAGAAUAUAAAAAACUAAGUUAUAUGUUUUAAGUUAUAUUUUUACUGAUUUUUAUAGGGUAAAGAUAGAAAUAAAACUUAGUAAAAUCAGUAAAAAUAUUCUUAGGCUAAAGUUAAGUAGUUUAAGUUGUGUGCAAGUGGUAGGAGAGCGUUCUAUUUGCGUCGAAGGUAUACCGGUAAGGAGUGCUGGAGCGAAUAGAAGUGAGCAUGCAGGCAUGAGUAGCGAUAAUUAAUGUGAGAAUCAUUAACGCCGUAAACCCAAGGUUUCCUACGCGAUGCUCGUCAUCG